GUCCAAGCAAUCUGCUCAACCAUUGGAACCUAGUACAUGAAAAAAAUCGGCCAUAGCCAAGAUAUUCUUCCAAGAUGGAGCGAUUAGGGUUUAACUUUAUCCACCUGGCUGGUAAAAUGUACUAUUGCUGCAUGCCAGAAUAUCUAAAAUAAUCAAAUAUAUUGGAUAGCGAGCUUAUUUCCUAUGAUGUCUUCUAUUAUUAUAUUGCAAAGAGCCACCUAUUCAUGACUCUCAUGUCAUUUCUAGAUUGUUGCCAGUUAAUUUGAGUCUCGCUGUAAAAACACUCCUUUUAGAAAAAUAUACCCCUCUGCUUCUCCUCCAUAUCCAGAAAGAUGGAAAUAAGAAAGACAUGCAUGAUAUUUGCAAAGUUCGUGUGAGUGUCAUGGAGAAGAAUCUCUUGGCUAUUUUAGUUGCCGGCUAUGAAAUUGAGUCAAAAUUUCCCAAGGAGGAUAGUGUGCAUAGAUGAUAAUGUAAUUUGGAUUAUACUGAGUGAAUCAGUAUGGAGUUAGCAAGUGGCAGGAAAGGCUUUGCACAAGAAGGAUGAAUAAAGUACUUGAUCACGACAUGUUGGCAAAUAUUUAGGGGAG
rnacentral:lncRNA from 1 species